rnacentral:rRNA from 1 species
CCUACGGGAGGCAGCAGUGGGGAAUAUUGGGCAAUGGGCGCAAGCCUGACCCAGCAACGCCGCGUGAAGGAAGAAGGCUGUCGGGGUGUAAACUUCUGUUAAGAGGGAAGAGCAGAAGACGGUACCUCUUGAAUAAGCCACGGCUAACUACUUGCCAGCAGCCGCGGUAAUACGUAGUUGGCAAGCGUUGUCCGGAUUUACUGGGUGUAAAGGGCGUGUAGCCGGGCUGACAAGCCAGAUGUCAAAUUCCGGGGCUCAACCCCGGACCUGCAUUUGAAACUGUUGGUCUUGAGUAUCGGAGAGGCAGGCGGAAUUCCUAGUGUAGCGGUGAAAUGCGUAGAUAUUAGGAGGAACACCAGUGGCGAAGGCGGCCUGCUGGACGACAACUGACGGUGAGGCGCGAAAGCGUGGGGAGCAAACAGGAUUAGAUACCCUUGUAGUC